rnacentral:misc_RNA from 1 species
GGCUUAGUUAAGUUGAGUUGAGUUAAGUUUAAGGAAAUUUUACCACUUACUCUGUAUAUUAUAUCAUUAAUUAUUCCCAAUCAUAAGUUUUGCCAUGAUAGAUUAAACAAUAUAUUUUUGAACCAUAAAUGUUGUCAUCAGUUGAACUGAAGCAGUAAUGAACACUAUUAGACCAAUCACCCUAACAAUUUAAUAAGUUUUGACAGAUUACCUGUACAUCUCCAGCUGCAAAC